rnacentral:tRNA from 1 species
GCCUGAGUGGCUCAGUCGGUGAAGUAUCUGACUUCGGCUCAGGUCAUGAUCUCACGGCUCGUGAGUUCGAGCCCCAUGUCGGGCU